rnacentral:rRNA from 1 species
GACGAACCGAGCGAACGUUAUUCGGAAUCACUGGGCUUAAAGGGCGCGUAGGCGGGCCGUCAAGUCGAGGGUGAAAUCCCCCACGCUCAACUGGGGAAGGUGCCUCCGACUACUGGCGGCCGCUCGAGGGGGGAUAGGGGCAUGCGGAACUUCCGGUGGAGCGGUGAAAUGCGUAGAUAUCGGAAGGAACACCGGUGGCGAAAGCGGCGUGCUGGAUCCCUUCUGACGCUGAGGCGCGAAAGCCAGGGGAGCGAACGGG